rnacentral:rRNA from 1 species
AUUGAACGCUGGCGGCAGGCUUAACACAUGCAAGUCGAGCGGGGGAAGGUAGCUUGCUACCGGACCUAGCGGCGGACGGGUGAGUAAUGCUUAGGAAUCUGCCUAUUAGUGGGGGACAACAUCUCGAAAGGGAUGCUAAUACCGCAUACGUCCUACGGGAGAAAGCAGGGGAUCUUCGGACCUUGCGCUAAUAGAUGAGCCUAAGUCGGAUUAGCUAGUUGGUGGGGUAAAGGCCUACCAAGGCGACGAUCUGUAGCGGGUCUGAGAGGAUGAUCCGCCACACUGGGACUGAGACACGGCCCAGACUCCUACGGGAGGCAGCAGUGGGGAAUAUUGGACAAUGGGGGGAACCCUGAUCCAGCCAUGCCGCGUGUGUGAAGAAGGCCUUAUGGUUGUAAAGCACUUUAAGCGAGGAGGAGGCUACUUUAGUUAAUACCUAGAGAUAGUGGACGUUACUCGCAGAAUAAGCACCGGCUAACUCUG